rnacentral:misc_RNA from 1 species
GCAAACUUGGUCAUUUAGAGGAAGUAAAAGUCGUAACAAGGUUUCCGUAGGUGAACCUGCGGAAGGAUCAUUACUGAAGUAAAUGGAGGUUGUAGCUGGCUUUUCGAAGCAUGUGCACGCCUUCAACAUCUUCUCUUUACCACCUGUGCACUUUUUGUAGUUCCAAGUAUAAAUCAUUAUGCUAUUCAACUUGGAGUUUGCAUUCAUUUGCUAUCUCUGUUCUUUUGAUUAGUAUGUUGUAGGGAGAUUUAUUCUCCUGUAUACUUGGUUCUAUGCUUUUACAAUCACUGUAUAACCAUGAAUGUAUUGCAGGUCGAAGGACCUUUAUAAUCUUAUAUACAACUUUCAGCAACGGAUCUCUUGGCUCAUGCAUCGAUGAAGAACGCAGC